AUCCAGAUGAAGAGUCCCAAAUAGGACAAAAUGUGCAUCCUGGAU
rnacentral:hammerhead_ribozyme from 1 species